UACGUAGGGUGCGAGCGUUAAUCGGAAUUACUGGGCGUAAAGCGUGCGCAGGCGGUUCGUUGUGUCGGCGGUGAAAGCCCCGGGCUCAACCUGGGAAUGGCCGUUGAAAAUGGCGAACUGGAGUGUGGCAGAGGGGGGUGGAAUUCCGCGUGUAGCAGUGAAAUGCGUAGAUAUGCGGAGGAACACCGAUGGCGAAGGCAAUCCCCUGGACCUGUACUGACGCUCAUGCACGAAAGCGUGGGGAGCAAACAGG
rnacentral:rRNA from 1 species